rnacentral:rRNA from 1 species
GCAGGGAAUCUUGCGCAAUGGGCGAAAGCCUGACGCAGCGACACCGCGUGGGGGAAGAAGGCUUUAGGGUUGUAAACCCCUUUUCUCGGGGAAGAGUAAGGACGGUACCCGAGGAAUAAGGUUCGGCUAACUACGUGCCAGCAGCCGCGGUAAUACGUAGGAACCGAGCGUUGUCCGGAUUUACUGGGCGUAAAGGGCGCGUAGGCGGCCCAUCAAGUCUCAUGUGAAAUCUCCCGGCUCAACUGGGAGGGGUCAUGGGAAACUGGUAGGCUCGAGGGCAGUAGAGGAAAGUGGAAUUCCCGGAGUAGUGGUGAUAUGCGUAGAUACCGGGAGGAACACCAGAGGCGAAGGCGGCUUUCUGGACUGUACCUGACGCUGAGGUGCGAGAGCAUGGGGAGCAAACCGG